AUGCAAGUCGACGGGCUCUUCGGAGCAAGUGGCGGACGGGUGAGUAACGCGUGAGAAUGUGCCUUGAGGAUGGGGAUAACAAUAGGAAACUAAUGCUAAGACCCAAUGUGCCUUAAGUGGUGAAAAAUGAAAAUUGCCUGAAGAGGAGCUCGCGUCUGAUUAGCUAGUUGGGGUGGUAAAAGCGCACCAAGGCGACGAUCAGUAGCUGGUCUGAGAGGAUGAGCAGCCACACUGGGACUGAGACACGGCCCAGACUCCUACGGGAGGCAGCAGUGGGGAAUUUUCCGCAAUGGGCGAAAGCCUGACGGAGCAAUACCGCGUGAGGGAGGAAGGCUCUUGGGUUGUAAACCUCAAAACUUAGGGAAGAAAAAAAUGACGGUACCUAAUAUAAGCAUCGGCUAACUCCGUGCCAGCAGCCGCGGUAAUACG
rnacentral:rRNA from 1 species